CUUCAAGUACAAGCAAAGCAGGAGUGUUGUUCUUUAUCUGAAACAACUCAAUCUUCAAAUUGAAGCAGCAACUGCUAAGCUUAAAACAUUUUCUACUGAAUGCCUGGAACUCGACCAAUUUACAGAAAAAAAUGACUUGCAACAAAAGGUGAUAGAAAUGAAAAAUGAGUUGCUGUGGAUUCAGAAAUCCUAUGAUGUUGAACGCUGCCAGAAAUGGGUCAAGCAUGCUCGAAAAGUUCAAAAGAAAACUAAGGACAUUAUCUGGCAGAAAAUACAGGAUCGU